CAUCUGCUCUCUCUCUAUUAUUGUACCUCCUUGAUAAACCCUAGAUCUCCCCGAUAAGCAGCAACAAUGGCAGACGCCGAGACUUUCGCUUUCCAGGCGGAGAUCAACCAGUUGCUCUCGCUCAUCAUCAACACCUUCUACAGCAACAAGGAGAUCUUCCUUCGUGAGCUCAUCAGCAACUCCUCCGAUGUAAGUCUCUUUUGCUUUCUCCUGCCUCGAUCUGUAGAUUAGGUUUGAUUACUGUUGUUGUUGUAUCCGAUCUGAAAUAGGGAACUCUUAGCUAUACUGUUGCUAGCGAUUUGAGUUGAAUUGAUUUUGGAUUGAUUAUUGCGAGAUAUAUUGAAUUUUGUGUACGUUCUAUGCGUAAUGUAUACGUUGUUUGCGUUUGUUACUUAAUGGUUCUGAUCUGAUUGUGGUUAAACAGGCUUUGGACAAGAUCAGAUUCGAGUCGUUGACUGAUAAGAGCAAGCUUGAUGGCCAGCCAGAGCUAUUCAUUCACAUCAUUCCAGACAAGGCUAACAACACCUUGACCAUUAUCGAUAGCGGUAUCGGUAUGACCAAGGCUGAUUUGGUCAACAACCUUGGAACCAUUGCGAGGUCUGGCACCAAGGAGUUCAUGGAAGCUUUGGCUGCUGGUGCUGAUGUUAGCAUGAUUGGGCAGUUUGGUGUCGGUUUCUACUCUGCUUACCUUGUUGCUGACAAGGUUAUCGUCACCACCAAGCACAAUGACGACGAGCAGUACGUGUGGGAGUCUCAGGCUGGUGGGUCUUUCACUGUAACCAGAGACACCUCUGGAGAGAGUCUUGGUAGGGGUACUAAGAUGGUCCUUCACCUCAAGGAGGACCAGUUGGAGUACCUCGAGGAGAGGAGGCUUAAGGAUUUGGUCAAGAAGCACUCUGAGUUCAUCAGCUACCCAAUCUCCCUGUGGAUUGAGAAGACCAUUGAGAAGGAGAUUAGUGAUGACGAGGACGAGGAAGAGAAGGACGAGGAAGGAAAGGUUGAGGAGGUCGAUGAGGAGAAAGAAAAGGAGGAGAAGAAAAAGAAGAAGAUUAAGGAGGUUUCUCACGAGUGGGACUUGGUGAACAAGCAGAAGCCUAUCUGGAUGAGGAAGCCCGAGGAGAUCAACAAGGAGGAGUACGCUGCCUUCUACAAGAGUCUCAGCAACGAUUGGGAAGAGCACUUGGCCGUGAAGCACUUCUCUGUUGAAGGACAGCUCGAGUUCAAGGCUGUUCUCUUUGUUCCCAAGAGAGCUCCUUUUGAUCUUUUUGACACCAAGAAGAAGCCCAACAACAUCAAGCUCUACGUCCGUCGUGUCUUCAUCAUGGACAACUGCGAGGACAUCAUUCCCGAGUACCUUGGCUUUGUGAAGGGUAUUGUCGACUCCGAAGAUCUCCCCCUCAACAUCUCGAGAGAGACGUUGCAGCAGAACAAGAUCCUUAAGGUCAUCCGCAAGAACCUCGUGAAGAAGUGCAUGGAGCUCUUCUUUGAGAUUGCUGAGAACAAGGAGGACUACAACAAGUUCUACGAAGCUUUCUCUAAGAAUUUGAAGCUCGGUAUCCACGAGGACUCCCAGAACAGAACCAAGAUCGCUGAGUUGCUCCGUUACCACUCGACCAAGAGCGGUGAUGAGUUGACCAGCCUCAAGGAUUACGUGACAAGGAUGAAGGAAGGUCAGGAGGAUAUCUUCUACAUCACCGGUGAGAGCAAGAAGGCUGUGGAGAAUUCUCCAUUCCUUGAGAGGCUCAAGAAGAAAGGGUAUGAAGUCCUUUACAUGGUGGAUGCCAUCGAUGAAUAUGCCAUUGGCCAGCUCAAGGAAUUCGAGGGAAAGAAGCUCGUCUCUGCAACCAAGGAAGGUCUGAAACUGGAAGAGUCAGAAGACGAGAAGAAGAAAAAGGAAGAGCUAAAGGAGAAGUUUGAAGGACUCUGCAAAGUGAUUAAGGACGUCCUUGGAGACAAAGUCGAGAAGGUCAUUGUCUCUGACCGUGUUGUGGACUCACCAUGCUGUCUGGUAACAGGGGAAUACGGCUGGACUGCAAACAUGGAGAGGAUCAUGAAAGCGCAGGCCUUGAGAGACAGCAGCAUGGGAGGUUACAUGUCUUCCAAGAAGACGAUGGAGAUCAACCCAGAGAAUGCGAUCAUGGACGAGCUAAGGAAGAGAGCCGAAGCUGACAAGAAUGACAAGUCUGUGAAGGAUCUUGUUCUUCUCCUCUUUGAGACUGCUCUUCUCACUUCAGGUUUCAGCUUAGACGAGCCCAACACCUUCGGAAGCAGAAUCCACAGGAUGUUGAAGCUGGGAUUGAGCAUUGAUGAUGAUGAUGCCGUUGAAGCCGAUGCUGAGAUGCCACCGCUUGAGGAUGAUGCCGAUGCUGAAGGCAGCAAGAUGGAGGAGGUCGACUAAAAGCCUGCCCUGUUGCUGCAGUGAACGAUUUUUCUCUACUUAUCUGCUCUUUCUAUGGCUAAAACUAUUAUUUUGGUGUUUUUUCUUCUUUUCUCAAGUACUAUUAGUGGUGUAGUUUUUUUCUCUGAACUAUAACUAUUGCUGUUAAGGGACUUCGUUUCUUCCAAAUCCAGAAAUUGUUAUUGCACGGUUGAUGAGUAUCCUACUGAUAUAUUUUGUAUCUUGAACUUUGCUUAAGACAACAUAGUUAAAGUAUGUUUAAGUACCUGGACUGAAGAGUGGAAAAAAUGUAGUUGCUUGUGUUCUGUCGUUUGGAGUAUUACUCUUUUCUUAAGAGAACAUUAGUCUUCUAUGAUUUGACAGACAAGUUUGAAGACUCAUUAAAAAAACUUACAGAUCUCUUUUUGUCGCAACAGUUUCAAGAUUCUUUGCAUCGCUGCUCUCUACAUAGUAGAUUCACUGGCCAUUGUUAUAGUUCUGAGUGAGGUUUUUUGGGGGAAAACACACAGGUUGAAGCAAACCACUUGGGUAAAAGAUCUAUCAAUUUCAAAAGUUUAUAUAUCAUAUGGACCAGUUGUAUCUACAAAUAGGCCUGGUCAAGAUGUAAAUCGAAAAGAAUUUUGCCUCGCAACAAAGCUCAGCAAGAGAAAAAUAAAUGAGUUCAGAGAAACAAAUUAACUUUCACAAGAAAGCUCAACGAGACAAAUGAACAAAUAAAUGAGUUCAGAGAAAGUCUUUGUAGAUUGCUCUUUUUAUCGCUCUUUUUAUCUUCAGGUAUCUUCAACCUGAGAAUGGAACACAAAGCUUGGAAACGUAGUCGUGAUAUCCCUGCAAGCACAGACACAACAUGGUCACCACCUUUAUUGAGAAGAAACCAGAGAAGCAAUUCUGUUGUAUAGAUUUCAAUAAGUCCCGGUUACAAAAACAUAAACUCACUUGAGAUAUUGAAGAGUCAUGUUCUUGAGAAGGCUAGGAUGUCUAAGAACAAGGCUUCUCCACUCUUCCUUAUCAAUCUUUCCAUCGUGUUUCGUGUCUGCUUCUUCAAACGUCUAAAACAAAUCAAAACUCAGGGAAAGUUACUCUCAACUAAAGCUAUUGUGCGAAGAUGAGAAAAGCAACUUACCUUGUCAAUUAUAUCCUCAAUGACAGUAUCCUUCAGGUUCAUUCCAGAUUCAGCAAGCGUAGCCACAACCAUUUGUUUCACCUGGACAAAAACAGCGGUGAGGAUGAUGAUAAAGUGCAGUUUAAUAUGAAACCUAUUUGAAUAUACCUCUUGCCGUUCUAUGAAACCUUGCUGUUUAAGAUCAUAUAGCUGAAAUGAAACUGCAACAACAACAUAUAUAUAUAAACCAUGAAUCGGAAACAAUAUUAGGACAUUAUUUUUUCUAAGCUAUAAGGGACUUACAUUGGAUUUUGUCAUCUAUAGGUGCAUUGGGAUGGAAUACAGAGAGAGCUCGAGCAAACUCCUCAAACCCAAGUAUUCCAUUGUGCUUUGUGUCAAACAAAUCAAAAACCUACAAACCAAAUGACAUAUGCUUCUUAAGACUUGAUCUUUUGGGGGGGAAAAAAACACUUGUAGUAAAGAAAGAAAUAUUACUCGAUCAGCAAACAAGCUCUCUUUCUUAUUUGUCUUAAACAAUGCCAACUGAAACUCCUCCUGAACCAAAGUUUUAACAAGAGAUGAGUAAACUAGACUGAGAUGGUGUCAACAAAUAAUGAAUUGACCAAAAAGAUUACACAAGCUCUUACCUUGUUUAUAAGCCCAUCAUCAAUCACAGCACUGCUGAUUUUUUUAAACAGCUCAUAAAGAGCUUCUAUCUCACUGACACUAACUGCACCACAAACCAAGUUCCAUUUAUUUUUUUAUUUUUUUCAAACCAAGUUCCAUACAAUCAUAUAAACCGAACUAAAUUAAAAAAAAAGGAAUAGAGAAGCUGAUAGGCAAUACAAACUGUGUCUCUCGAAAGCAAUUCAGGGUCACCAAGUCCGCCACCAGAUUGUUUAUACAAAUCGAGAUCAAAACACCCUAAAACAGAGGUGCAUAAAUGCUUAACACCGUCUAUGCACUGCGUCAUGAUUGAUAACUUAUGCAAAUCAUAACUCUCCAUGCCUGCAAAAUAAAACAAAACAGGGAGAAGAAGUAAAGCCUAAGUGAAAACUCUACAGAAACAAAACAUAUGAACAAAUAUAAAAACCCACCUUAUAAGUUUUAACCUUUGGUCUGAGAAAAGGCAGAGCGCUCUGCGAUGAUCUGUAAUUGUAAAAGCAGAUGAGAUGUAAAUUGUAAUCACUUAAUAAAUCUUUUGGUCUGACAGAGUAGACAUAAGAUUGAAUGUAACACACACAACUUGAAAAAAAGUUAAAGAUAGGAUCAGACAAAGAUUCAUAAUAACAAAAUAAAGGCAACAAAACAUUGCUUACACACUAUAAACUGAAGUCAUUGUCAUUAUUACCAGAUGUUACUUAUGUCCACAUAAACACAAACGAAGGCUUGAAUGAUAUCAUUGGCAAAUUAUUUAAAAAGAUAAACGAGAAUAACGAUGCAAAAGCCUAAAAAUGUUUAAUUCACAUAACAAACCAAAUUUAUAUAUCUAAUUUUCUUAAACAUUAGAAUAAUGGAACAUUGCUCUCUAAAUCACUCCGAUUCAACAUUACAGUAAAACGGAUUCGUGAUGGAAUCACACGUUAUGCAACUCUUAUACUAUUCAGUAGUUGUGAACUGAAUUGGUUUUACAGAUUAACAGAAAUCAACCGAAUAAAAAGUUACCGUUUUUCGAUGCUUCUGAUUGUAUUCCUCAAUCUCAAGGCGGCUCUUUGGCGGUUGGAAGGUGGUGGAGAUUGGUAGUAAGGUGAGAGCCGAUUCUGGUGUAAGCAGAAUGGUUUAGAAGAACAAAUAUAUUUUACAAAACCUGAGAAAAUCUUUUAAACUAUUUAUGUAAAUAAAAUAAAGAAAUAAUCUUUUUAGCAUUAACUAACUUUGGUCUACAACUUUUUAAAUCAAUUAAUCUUAUAUAUUAAAACAGAAGUCACAACCUUAAUUCAUGUGUGAUUUUUUUAAAAAUGGACCUAAUGGACCUAUUCAUAGAAAUUCAUACUAUAUUUUAAUUCAGACUAAUAAUAAAUAUAAUUUUUAAAAUAUUUUAAUCAUAGUAUCUUUUGAUAUUUUUCAUUUUAAAUAUAAAUAUAUUUAUUUUAAAAUUCUAACAAAUCUGUUUAAAAAGAUUUUUACAAGAUCUUCAUUUUUGAAAUUAUAUUUAAAUAUUUUCACUAAUUUCGAAAUUAGUUUAAAAUAUUAUUAUACAUUAAUAUAUUCAGUUAUAUAAAAUGAAAAAUAAAAAAAAUCUAUAAUAUUUUAGUUAUUAUAUAAUCAUAAUCAAUCAUAUUAAAUUAAAAUUAUUAUCUUGAGCUAAAUAUAAUAAAAUUGUAUUAAACUUAUAUAUUUAUAUAUUUUAUUUUCGUAAUUAUAAAAUAUUUAUGUUCAAAAAUAAAAUCUAAUAUGUUGGUAAGAUGGGUUAACAUUAUCAAAUUAUAUAAUACAUGUAUAAAAAUUAACAUGUAUUUAUUUAAAGUUAAUAAUAUAAAAUCUUUGUAACUACAUUAAUUAUAAUAUAUUUUCAUUUUAAAUAUAAUAUAUAUUUAUAUAUUAUAUUUUAAAAAUUCUAAUAAAUCUGUGUAAUAUUUUUUUUUGUCACGAAUAAAUCUGUGUAAUAUUUAAACAAUAACUUAAUGUAUUUUAAGUUAUUGUUUAGAAAUGAAAAUAAAUAAAUUAUAUCCUAUUUUAUCUACUUUUAUAGUCAUGAUCAUGUUAAAAUAUAAUUAUUAUACUAAAAUAAAUAUGAUAAAAUUAUAUUCAAUUGAUAAAUUUAUAAAUUUUAUUUUCAUAAAUAUAAACUAUUUAUUUAAAAUAUAAUAUGAUGAUAGAACGACUUAAAAUUAACAAACUAUAUAAUACAUGUCUAAAAAUUAACAUAUCUUACACUUUUAUAUAUACAAUAAUAAAUUAUCUAAAAUAAAUAAGCAUAAAAAUAUUGGUAAAAAGAAAUCCAGUUUUGAAAUACGGGUCAGAAUUUAGCAUAAAUUAAAUACAAAAUAUUUUUUAAAUAUAUUUUCUCAUGAAUCCCCUAUAUUAUUUUGCUUAAUAAUUAAAUGCAAAUACAAUAAAACAAAUAUAUAAUAGGAAGUGGUAAAUACAUAAGGUUUAAAUAAUUAAUUAAUUAUAACAUGUAAAUUAUAAAAUUAUUGUAUUUGAAAUAGUUAUAUAAAUAUUUAACUAUAUAAUUAUCAUUAAAAAUAUAUACUACUUAUGUUCUAAAACAAUAAUUUAUGUAUAGAAAAAUGAAAACAAACACCUGUGCGGUUGCACGGGUCAAAAUCUAGUUAUGUUGUUGAUACAGCUGUUAAGCCACGAAUGAGUGAAGCUCCAACAACUACUUGUCACACGUCGCAUUUUGUGGAGCCUGUGUUAAAUAAUGCGCUGUAUUUAAUUAUACGACCACGUUUUACUCGGGACUUAAUUUGCACUUUAUUACGGAACCGUUUAAUGUUUGGUUUGGUUUUGUUUUAUUUCCGGUUUACGUUAUAGACGAUCUGAAUUGAACCUGAACCACCGGUCUCAUCAGUUGUCUUUUAACGUUUUCAUUUCACAAUACAUCAAAAUCGCAGCAAUAAUCAACAUUUAAUGUAUAUACGGGUGUGUUAAAAAAAAAAAGUAUAUACGGGUUGUAAGGAUAUAUAUAUGGAGAACCUUUUUAAAAUAUUCAACUCGAUUCAGAAAAUGAAUAUUUCGUGUGUUUUGAGGCAUUUUGAUGAUUGUGUAAAUGGAAUUUAAUUGAUUAAGCGUAUGAUUGUACAAUAAAUCAAUUUUAGAAUGUAAAAUCUCUGACGAACUACAUAAAGUUCGUCUUCGAUCGGUUUAGGCCGAAUUCAAACUGUUUGGUAUACAUUUUCAACACAAAACCGACACUUAUUAUACCGAAUAGGGGCGAAUACAUACGAUUAAAAGCGGUUUACUAAGCCUUGAUAGAGUCACUAAACCAGCUCGACUUGGACGACAAAAGCACAGCGAGGUUCGACCCUAUAGACCCGGUACGUGUCAGGGAAUCAACACGAUGGUGCCUGCACCUGAAAGAGCCGGCGUGUGUCGUCGGAGUCCCAACGGCGUAAACUCGGUGAGUUUUGGUCUAGGUUCUGCUUCUUGAUCUGUUCGACGGGAGAGCCUCCGGAAGGUUGGGAUUUGAUCUUGCCUAAAUUUAUGGAAUACUUCUCCUCCGCCAUAUAUUUUCUGACAACUAGAGCUUAAGGGUUUUCUCUCGCCGUGGUUUUGAUGAAAAAUAAGAACGAUUCGUACUGUUUUUGUUGUUUCAUAGACAUGUCUGUGGGUAUUAUAUGGGGACUUAAGAGACAAGGCAACUAAAUUAGUCGUUGUAAGGUUGUUGACAAACUGCAUUUUUAAGAUUCGGGUGGUUUAGUAUUCUAGAAAAGAAUAAAUAAGAAUUAGAGGGAAAUAUUUGACUUAGUGGUUAUAUUCUUCUUUUUCUAGUUACACAUUUACACAUUUGUGAUCGUCAAAUAGUUAGAGAAAUACAUGGAUAAAACCAAAAUAUAAUUACUGAAAAUAUAUUGGAAACAAAUUGUGUCUAAGCGCCAAACAAAACCCUAAAACUAUUUAAUUAAUUUGGCGAUGUUGUAAGUUGUAACUAAACAAAAAAACAUCCAAAAAUGUUAGUCUCCUAUUUGUAGUAUGGGGAUGACCUUGAAUUCAAAUCUAAAUUAAAGCACCUUAUUGUUGAAGUCAAAGUCAUUAAGAUGCCUUGUGAACCGAAGUUUAUGUCCAACAUGAAAAUCAGGUAUUCUAACUGUCGUACACCAGUUGAACGUAUAUAUAUACCAUGAAUUUGGUAACUACAAAAUUAGUUUGGAAGCUUAUGUAGUUACCUCGUUUAGGUUAAAUCACUGAGGGGUUAAAUAUGCUUUUAUUAGCAAAUAGAACUGAAAAUACAAGGCAUGAUGAGAAAUAACCAUAUGAAGUGUAAACACUAUUACUAUUACUUAUCAAAAAAAAAGAGUGUAAACACUAUAUCAAGAUUUUUAUAAAUGUUGUGGCAUUGUGAUUUGUAUCUCCUCACAAUGUACUUUACGGUUACUGGUGAGCUCUUUCUGUACAAAACUUUUGACACUCACUCACACAAGUAACCUACUUGCUUCAAACCAAAAAUAAAAAUAAAAACCUUUGAGAGAAGAAACCAAACAAACCAAAAACUAUAGAACUAAAAUCAGAGUCUCUUAUGAGCUCUUGUCUGCUUUAGGGUUUUGUGCUUUUUCAUCCGGAAAGAUCUUGUUUGCAGAGAGGACAACAAGAGAUGAUACGAAGCCACUGAUCUACACACUUAAGGUGAAACUUAUGUGAACAUGGAAGCUUCCUUACUUCUUCCUUGUCUUUAUACUUUGCCAAACAUAUACAACACUCCUGCAUAUCAAGAAUAAAGAAAAUCAAAACCUACUUUUUUCUAUCAUAUAUCUAUCUAAGAUUAAUAAUAUACAACAUUUGAUGUCAGAAUACUUAGUGGAUCAGACAGAGUAAUUACAAAUGAAACCAGUUCCGGUAUAGCAUCAUUGAAUAUCUGAUUGAUUAACCAUAUAUUCAAUUUUUGCUAAAACUCUGUCUUAAGAAAAACCCUUAUGGGUCUGCUUUGAUAUGUGAGUCAAAUGAUUAUAACUUACAGGAUCAUCAGUUUUAGGAGCUGAAUCAGAAGCAUUGUCGUCGGCUCGUUUGUGUUUCCAGCUAGGGAGACUAGAGAUUUGGUCAUCAGAUGCACCUCUGUCUGAAGAUCCCAUGUUCAUGUUGUAUCCAAGGAGACUACUAAUGAGAGGCACAAGGCAACAGAGGAAUAGGAAGAGAAGAAAGGGAAAAGAGUAGCAGAGAGCGUUCCAAGAAAGAAGAGAGACGCAGAGAACGUGAAGCUUUGGAGCAUGGUUGAAAGAACCGAAUCUAGAAUCAAACACCCAAACAUUCCCAACCACAAACCAAAUCGCAAAGAACAGCUCUAGAGACGUUCUGCACUUGUUCAUCAAAUGAGAGCUCCUGAAAUUUAAAACAUAUACGAUAUUAAUACAACUUCAGGAUCUUGCAAAGGUUAUAGUAUUCAAAAUCAAGAAAAUAUAAGUUACCUAGUUUCAUCUCUGCCUCUGUGUUGCUGCUCAAUAUCGACAAACCAGUUUCCUUGGUUUAGUUGGCGAAACCGACCAUAUAAUAGCAUAAGACUGAGGAGACAUCCCACAUCAUAACCUGUGAUCCAUAACCUCACUGGCCAAACAGGUCUCUCUUCUUUUGAGAUAGCUAGUGUGAGUGUAAUCACUGUAAGCUGAACAAGCAGGGCUAUAAGCUCAGACAUCAUCCACGUGCUGGAGUUAAAAGGGUUGGAGCCGAGAUCUGAUCUUGAUCCGUUUUGAUAGUGAAACACUCUUCUCAAGAAGAUAAACCAUCUAGCUCUAGAUACCCUCAUAGCAAACCUUAAGUAGAAGGACCUCUCUUGAACAGAGGCAGGCGCAUGAGUGUUGUCACUUCGUGGUGGUGUGGUACUCAAUGAAGAAGAUGAUGAAAUAGUUAUGGAGACAAUAUUGGAAGAUGAUUCAUCCAUUGGAAGUUUUCCAAAGCGUUCAAUAUAUAUUUAAACCUUCAAAGAAAAAAAGAUUGAACAUUAAAAAAAAAAAAAAAAAACUUCUGAAAGUUUAUAAGUUGUGAACACACACAUGAAACUUGGAAGUAUAUAAACGAAAAGAUCAUGGAAAAAAAACACAAGAAAAAACACAGAAACUAAAGAAAAGGAAUCAUGAAAUUUACAUGACCUAACAAUAAUAAAAACACAUGAAAAAUCUAUAUACCUUAUUUGCAACCACCAAAAAGGCAAAACUCAGCUCCGUACACGAACUCCACGACUUCCCGAAAAGGAGGAAUCUAUUUCACAAAAGGAAAGUACCUCUAGUAGCCUAAGCUUUGAGUAUAGAGAUAAGCUUUUGUCUGAAAUGAAAUAGGUUUUAUAGGGAUAACUUGUUUCUAAUAUAGGAGAAAAGAUUGAGAAGACAGGAACAAGAGAAAAAGAUGAUUACAAAGAAAGAUUAGGAAGGUGUUGUGUUUAUGUCAGGGAAGGUGAAGUUGGGCGAGAGAUGGCGACCAAGAAUCACACCAUAACAAAAGGAUUGUUUAUAUAUUUUAUAAGAGACAAACUCUUUGAAGUUUGUGUUUUGUUUUGUUUGCUUACGUUUGAAGAGAAACAAAGAAAGGGAGAGGAAGAGAACCGUUGGCCUAAUCUAACACCUGAGGUUUUGUUUAUGAAGAAAUGUUUAGAUCGCAACUGCUUAUUCCAACCGCCAAUGCAGACCUUCUCUCUCUACUCUGUUUCUCUCUCUCUAGGAUUGAGAGGAAAGGGAAAGAUAUUUUAUUUGAUUUCUUUUUGUUUUGUUUUUAUUUGUAGAAUUUUCGUUUUGGAAAAGAAAUGGAUAAGAAUUAAGAAUAUCUAGAUGAAGUCAUCAAUUCAAAAUUCACCGUAUGACAAAUCUUUUUGUUAUAACAGAACAAUCUUUCUCGCUUUUUAUUAUGUUGAUCAUUUCCCAACUAUAGUGAUAUUAAAUUUUAAUAAAAAAAUAUACUAUAUAUAAAAUUACAAAUUUUUCCUCUACGUCCAUAACUUAACCUUGUAGCAGUAUGGUUCUUAUUCGAUUCAGUGAUUUUACAUAUGUAAUUAUAUUAAAUCAUAUAUAUACACUUUUAUUUGGAUUAAAUAAAUAAAUGAUGCUUAAGAUUACUAAUUUUGACAACAAGAUUGUAUAACUUGGCGGGAGGAAAUGGGAAGGAGUGGGGGAUGGUUGGCUAACUAAUCUCAACCAGAAGAGUCUAUCAAUUAUCAUUUACGUUGUGGAGUGGAGCCCAAUUCCUCACUUUCUUUCAGUUUCCACGUUGUCUUUUGUCCCAUUAUUAUUUUUAUUUUUUGAAAAAGGCUUUUGCCCCAUUAUUGAGUUUUAUUUGUCAGAUGAUAGUUGUGAAAAAGUAUAUGAUUAAAAAUGAAUAAAAGCGAAUACAUUGUGAACGAAUUAAUAUUCUAGAACUUUCGCAAAUUUUUAAAGUCAAUUAUGUGAAUACUAUAUACGUAUAUGUUGAAACCUAGAGUAUUCAAAACAGAAUUUAGUUCUGCAUCUGUGAAAAUUAUAAAAGCGCUUUAGAACUAGUAUUCUGGUUCCGUUGGUCAAUCAUUCAAAUAUGUUGACUUUCUUACAUUGUAUUUUGACACCAAUUCACAUUUACAAAUUACAAGUUGAAGUUUCCGAGAUUGGAAAUAGAGUAAAAGCUAAAUGACUAUGCAUGGUAUAUCUCUAAAAAUAGUAAGUACUAACAGUUGACACUGACAGCACAAGAUCCAAAAUGAAUUUUUUUUUAUCUAAACGACAAGCAAUUUUAACUGUUAUCUAUAGUAACCUUCAAGGAACUACGAUUCUACAUCCGUCUUAUCGACUCAUUGCACUUUGUAAUUUAAAACUAAAUAAAUCUAAACUCUUUGAUUUACACAUCGAAUGAGGAUAAUUUAAUUUAAUCAUCAUUUCAUAAGGUUUAAUCGAAUUUGAAAGCUUGAACAUAAAUCAUGUUUCUCUCCGUGCAUCGUCGACCAUAUGUAUAUAUGUCGGUCUCGUCGACAAUUCGUCGACCAAUGGAGACAUGCAACAUCAUGAUUACUUUAGCAUGCGAAUAUUUCAUGAAUAUUGACUAAUUAUUAUAUUAUUUUUAUAAGAAAAAAAGAAACUCCAAGGCAACAUCACUCAAAGCAUAACACGUGGCUUCACACGAACACACAGACAGGUGGAUAAAAUUAAUAUCGUUAGCUAAGUUGAAAGUUUUUUUUUUUUUUUUUUUUUUUGUUAAGUUGUUGAAAGCUCAUUUAUCCAGUUAUGAGUUAUCAGAUAGCCACAGGACUUCUCGGUUGUUUUUGGUGGUUAUUGUAAUCCCAACAUCACUUUCGUCUUUUGUUAAAGUUAAUAUAAACUCUGUUUUUGUAAUCCAAACACGUAUUCUUUCUUUUUUCUUUUUAUACUUCAUCAUCGCUUCACAUUCUGGAUUUCCACAGCACGAGAAAUCAGGGCCGGUCCUUGACUAAAGCGGACAAAGCUAUAGGUUUAGGCGGCAAAAUUAUGUUACAUAUUUCAGGGGCAGCAAUUUUGUUAGAAAUGAUAGUGGUGUAGUAGUUGUUGCUAUAACUUGGAUUAUGGCUUCGAUUCUUUACUCUUACAUUUUUAUAGGCUAUAUAUUUUAUUGAUAGAUCUAAAGUUUUUGAGCUUUAGAUGCCACAUAGUGAUGGACCGGACCUCUGAGAAAUCCUUGUCAAAAUCAGCUAGAUCAUCCCACAUUACUUUCAGUCUGCCAAAGUAAACUUCAACUGCAUUGCCAUUCUGUUUGCAUGAUGCAAUCCAGCAUGAAGUUGAUGAACUUUUUGUAUCAUCGCUUAUAGAAAAGCCUCAGUUGAAGGCUUCCCCACAUAAUCUUUGCGCUGUCAACCAGUGAUAUUGACGGUCGCAAUUUUGGUUCUACACUCCUGUAGAUCCAACCAAUGAUCAUAGCAUUCACAAUAUCCCACUUUUUUCAUCUUCUGGUUUGUUGACUGGUUGUUUCAGAGUGCCAUCAACGAAACCUAUCUUUUGUUUGGUUCUUAACUAGUUGAACAUCAAUUUUGCCCAUUUUUCAUAAUUUGCUCCAUUCAAAAGAAUGAGUGUCUAAACUUGUCAUGUAUUAUCUAAAGGAUGGAGAUAAUAUGGAGAGACAAGUGGAUCGUUUCUCCACCAGUAGCUCAUGUCGGUGACGCCAUGCUAAUCGAGGUAGAUCAAAAAAAAUCUCAUCGUAACAGUAUAUUUUGGUGGUUCGUAAAUUUAUUAGCUUUGUAGAAAAUUUAGUUGUUUGGCUGUGAUACCAUAACAAACUAAUAUAAACUUUGUUUUUGUUAUUCAUCUCAAGGUCAAUACAUCGAUAUUUAUACACAUGAUAUGAGCCGUAACAAUAGGAGAUAACUACUACAACCAAUAAUGUUGUGUUUAUUUAAAUAUAUGUUUAUCCUUAACUAAUAUUUCGCACAUAUCACCGUCUGUUGAUAUAGGGUUUGACUAAGUUUUGAGUUAAGGUUAGUGCAUAUAUAACACCACAAACUUAAGACCUUAUCACACCAAAAUUACUAGUGCCUCGUAAAAACAAGGAUCUGAAGAAUAAAUCUGAUCCAAAAAGUUAUACCAAACUUGAACUGAAACUGAUAAAAUAUAUGAUGAAUAGAUUCAAAAUUUUAAUAUAUGGAAAAACCGGAGCAGAACCAAACUGAAAUAUUCCAGACACAUAAAAAUAAAUGAUCAUUAAUUAUAUGCUUAAAUAUAUUAAUUAUUUUUAAUAUAAUAUCUAAAAAUAUUCUGAAUUAUCAAAUACUUGGAAAAAUAUCUAAAAUUUGAAGAAGAAAAACUGACAUUGAAGUAAACUACAGUUAGAUAUGUAUGACCCCGAAUUAUUGGGCCCAAAUUAUUCUAUGGGUCAAUCUGGGCCCAAGUUGUUUAAAAUUAACAUAUUAGCGUAAUGCGUAAUGGAUCUCACUUAAGAAGGAUCUAGAAAUUCUGUAUUAUGUGGGUAUAUAUCUAAUUAUAUAAAAGAAUGUUUGAGUCUCUCCCGUCAUGUCCACGUGUAAAUUCUUUUGAUAUAGACUUGACGCGUGUCUCGCUUCUCCACAAACCGAGCUUUCUUCACUCCUUUUCGCUCUAUUGUUUUGGGCUUCAGUUGCCAGGCCCGUAAGUGAAGAUGAACCCUAGAUCGCGUUUCGCGUUUACACCAUCGCCUCCGUCCUGACUUUGCGAUUCCGGUAACGGUUCAGCCGAUACUUAACUCCCAUUUAUUGUUACCUCCACGAUGUGCCUUCAAUGCGGUCGUCGCGUCGCAUAGGCGGUGAGUUUUUUUGUAUAUAUAGACAUCAGAUCUCUCAUCUUCGAUUCAUCAAAUCUUUGUUGCUUAGUACUCAUAUAGAUUCCGCUUCAGUUUUGUCAUGUCUACUCCCAGGGUUUUCUUCUCAGACCUCAAGUCCGGCAAGUGCUCAUCCGCUGUUGAGGCUCGGCUUCUGCGAUUCUGGGAGGCGAAGAAUGUCAAACGCGGUGGGGAGCUGAUGUGGGUCGACAUGCUCUUGAUUGAUGUCAAUGUGAGUUAUUUUCAUACAUGAUUAAUCCGAUUAAACUCUUCGUGUUUGGUUUUUUUUUCCUAAAGUUUAAUCAAUUUUUUUUUUCAUGUAUCAGGCGACAAUGAUGCAAGCCACCAUCUAUGCUAACCGCCUUUCAAGAUUUCGUUCCAAACUCGCCGCCGGAACGAUGUACACCAUCUCUGGAUUCGACUCCCCUCUGAUGAUCCGGUUUAAUGAUUCCACCGCCUUUGAUGAGCUAACCGAGCCGGUUAGUCCAUUACCUGAAGAAGGAUUCCGGUUCCGUAAUCAGUCUGAAUAGCAAGGGUUCAUCGUGUUCGUCGACCUUUGGGUAAUCUCAAACAAUGGAGUUUCGAAGAGAGUUAUCAGAGACGGAUCGAUCGAUCUGUAUUCGUGUCGUUUCGUCUUGCUUCUGGAUGAAUUGAUUUGAUGCCAUUAAUGAUAUUCUUAACUCCAUCAAGCCACUGCAACCACGUUUUGUCAUUCAAUACACCUUCUAUCUCUUCAAAGGCGGUGCAUCUCAAGCUAUAAAAAGCUGAGCUUUCAUCCCAUAAACAUUAUCCUCACAAAUCAAAAUAAUCCUUGAAAGUUAUUUGAUUUUUUAACUCAAUAUUGAUGUUUGUUGUUUGCUUUUUAUACUUUUAUUAUAUGCUUGAAUCAGCAACGCAGGGCCGUGCUAGGCAGGAACUAGAAGACUCUUGCUUUUCGGAUUCCCUUCAUUAACAUAAUCAACAAACUCAACUCUAAACACAGGUUUGUUAAAUCUAUCGUUGUACUUUUGUAAUUGAAGACUCAAAGUUUUACACUUUCUAUGGUUCUUAUUUGGAUUCGAUGUGUGAAAGGCUUGGUAAGAACCAUUUUUGUUUGGUUUUGGCUCCGACAAGAGAGCUUGCUGGUCCGGUAGCAAAUAAAUUCAGAGAAGCCCCAUCUCUCGGUGAGGCACGAAACAGAACAGCAAAAUGAGAACUCUCAGAUGCAGAAUUUCGCUGGUGUUGGUGGUGCUCCUGUUGGUGAUAGUUUAGGACCUUCACGUCUCUCUCCGGCUGACUUCUACGUCUUGAAAGUUUGACAGGGCAUGUGAAUCAUAAUGUAAGCUUUUGAAUUUUUUUUUACAAGUUAUAUACUUUUGGCAGGUAAUGCUUUAGAUAGUAGAUGAUAGUUUUGAAUGUUUUUUUACAAAUUAUUGACUUUUGGACAUGUUAUGCUUUAAGAUAAUGGAUGAUAGUUGGAGAGCAAAAUUUGACAGAGAGUGAGAUAAGAUGGCUUUAGGCUAUGCUUUAAGGCUUAUGGUAUCUAGAGAGAUUGUAUUCCUGAUGGUGAUGAAACUGCUAACAACAUUAUGAGUGUCUCAUGUCCAAACGAGAAAAAUGUUUCCUGUGUCUGGAUUUUUUUUUCUGUUUUUUUUUUGUACCUAAGAUGUUAUGUCUAUCAAUUGUAUUUUGGAAAUCCACAUUUGUUCUGUUUCUAAAAACGUUUAUAUAUGUGUGUACACACAUGUAAUCUAAACUUCUAAGCUCUUCAUAUUAUGUGCAAUGUUAUGACUCAGGAGGAUGAUAAAGCUGAGGCUCCGGAGGAUGAGAUGGUUGUGAAAGAGCCUGAGGUAGAAAAUAAACAGAACUGGAACCGGUGUUUGAAAAACAGAAGGAGAGGAGGCAGAAAGCUUUGAAUGAGAAAGAGAUGGAUAAUGUUGCAUACAAUGACUUCGAAACUUCUAUCAAGCAUUACUCCAAAAAGGCAUUAGGGAGAAACAGAAACAUGAAGAGGUGAAUCGUUUAAAGAGGGAGACUGCUGAAACAGAGGAAUCACAUAGACGAAUAAGAAGAAGAGAGUAAGAGACCCAUGACAGAGCGUCAAGCUGCAGAGAGAGAGAGAAGCUACUAGACUGAGAAUAAGGCAAGAAAAGGCACUUCAUCUUGACGGAUCUGAGAAAGGACCUGAUGCUAAACAUGUAAGUUAUCUUUUCUUUAACACCCAUUACUUAUACUUCGUUCAUGAAAGGCCAAACUAUUACUUUCUAUGCAAAGCACAUCAGUCUAAUUUUUAUGCUGUUGGGAUUCAGAACUUUGUGAUAGUAUAAAAUUUUAAUUUUUAUCAAGCCUUAUAAAUCUCUUUAUAAAUGCAGGAGUCAACAGAAGUUUUUUUUUAUUCUUUAUCGAUGCUUGAAGCGGUAACUCAUCUCUCUCUCUCUAAAUACAUGUAUGUAUAUAUUUCUCAGUACAAUGUCUUACAAAUACGCUUAUCUGUUUUGUUGAAACAUUUGAUUUGUUCUGGACCUUGCGGGGAAUGGUAACAUCAAAUAUGUGUUAUUUACAAUCUACAUAAAUACAUUGACAAAACUGCAAACUUCCUUUGAUUGUGUCUCUUGCUGUUUGUUCUAGGAGGCACAUAUUAUGAACAUAAGAUGUCACUUCUGGCUACUACAAAGUAUCAAGGUAAAAAUUAGAUUCAAAAUUUCUCUUAUGCAAUUCCUGAUAACUUUAAAACUCAUCAUAGUGUUUUCACCUUUUUCUUCUGGUGAUAGGAUCAUUUGAAGAAGAUAGCAUGGUGAUGGAUUCAAAUAUGUAGGUAACAAAAACCACAACUCUUUCUCCCCACUUUCCAACUAUUUGGAUAUUUUAAAAUCAUUUAUUCGUUUAUUGCUUUUAGAUCUUUUACAUUCAUGAUUUGCAUCAAACAAUGUUCACUGUACUCUUCUUCAAUUAGUGAAGGGAAGAGCCAGAGGAUGAGACAUGGGUCAUUCCGGAGAUAAACGUCGUGCCGUGGUGGAAUGUUAACGUAUAGAUCUGAAGGAGAGGCCAAACAAAUCUUUUCUUUAGUCGAUAGAAACACAGUUUUUGUUUUUGUCGAGAGUAACUAUAUAAAAAUUAAUAAUAUUUUAUAAAAACCGAACGAGAGGCACAAUAUAAAACAACGUGAUAAAGAAUAUAUAAGCAUAAUAAAACUAUAAUAUAAAAUAAACUAAACAUAUCACAAAUUUACACAACAAAAAUAAUUUAUAGUAUUCUUAUAUCAAACAAUUUUAAUCAAAAAAUGACAAAAAUAAAAAAAAGAGCAGUCACGAAAAAUAAUGAUUCAUGCAUAAUAUAUAACAAACUAUUCAAAUAAAAAUCAAAUAUUAGUUAGUAUGUUUAGUUUUCUCAAACAUUCCUCUAAUCAUACUAACAUUGUAACAAUCUAUUACUUUUUGAAAGUGGGGUGCUGCAUUUUGUGUCCGUAAAGGACCAGAAGAAGAACGUUUGGCUACAUAGGUAUGUCUCUGCAUUUAAAUAGAUUUGUGUAUCAUGUUAUUGGCUUAAUGCUUUCGUGUUGAUCAUUCUGUUUAUGUGCAAUACUUGGACCACAGAGAGUGAGCAUGAUCGAGUAUGAACUCAAGAACAUGUGUAGACUUUAACAUGGUGAGUCAGCAUCCCCGAUUCUGAUGAACUCAUGUAACUGAUCUUACAGAGGGAGAUGAUCCCCUGAAUUGGCUGUUACCAUCAACUAUUGUUUGUUUUAUAAAACAAACAAAUCUUCUUUUUUUUUCCACUGUACUUUUCUAUAUAUAAAACAAAUCUAAAAUAACCAACAACUGGAUGCAAACCUCUUUGAAUGUGAAUGUGUAAAGUCAAAAAGUAGGCUGAAUCAGUCCAAUUAAUUGUUUAUGACACAAAGACAAAAUUAAGAAAAACAAUAUUUUAAACUUACGACAAAUACUCAGUAACAUAUUAUUUAACCGUACAACAGCAUGCUACAUACAAAGACACAGCACUCGGCGGUGAGCAACGCAGCACUCGGCAGAGAGAAAGAAGAAAUCGGCGGAGAAUAACGGAGAAAGUAGUGAAAGAGCAACAGAGCAAUGGCGGAUAGCAAUGAACAAGAGGCAUUGAGAUGGAUCAAGUGACGGAAAGAGUGAGAUGGACAGACAUGAAACAAGCGACAGAUAGUGUGACAAGAGAAAGGAAAUGAAAUUGCUGCAGUUCAAUAUGGCACAAGGGAGGUUCAUAGGCUCUCAGACAUGGUAAAUUAAUCACUCUGUUAGAAAACAUAUAACAAAGGUACAUGCCCAAUUGUGCUUAUUUCUUUCAAAGUAGAACCUCAUGAAAGAAAGUUGACACCUAUUGAAGAUAUCAAAGCUCUAAACAUGAAAACAUAAGUAAUUUCAAAUUCUAACAACAUUAAAAUCUGGAAUCUUCUUUGUAUUUGUUCAAAGUUUGUUAUACGAAUCCUUCUUUGCAUGUCUCUCCACAUGUUCAGUGCAUAUAUCAUAAGUUAGAUUGUAUGUUAUGUGUGGUCAUGUUAAUUUUGUACUUAUUGACUAUAAAAUGCAUUUUAUUCAUGAAUGGUUAACGGUAACAACUGUAUUUGGGACAUGAAAAAAAAUACAAUAGUGUUGUACUUAAUAGAAAACGACAAUAAUUUCACAAAUAAUCCAUUUAUAAUUAAGCAUGAAAAAAAACACUCAUUAAUUCAAAUAAUAACUCAGAAUAUAUAUAAAAGCUAACAUCUAACCAUUCAAUUAUUAUCCAAAAUUCUUAAACAAAAGAACUUUAACCAUUCAUAAUAUAAAUUGUAUAACAAAAUUAACAAACACCAUAUAAUAUCAUACACAAAUUCAUCAACAAAUAAUAAUCACAAUAUAACAAAAUUUGUUAUACUUUGGUGAUAACUUUUUUGAAUCAACAACAAAUUUUGAGAUACAAUUAUGAUUAUCAUUUUUCAAAAUUGAUUAUAUAUAUAUAUAUACAUAUAUUAUAAAUGGGGGCAUUUACAUCAAAACAGACUUUUGUCGAAAUGGAAUAAAAAUUUGAAAAGAAAAAAUUUCAAACACUUAUGAAAAUAAGAUAAAUAAUAUUUUGAUAAUGGGUUCAAUUAGUUGGAUUGUAAAUGCAUAACUUUUAUUGUAAGAACUCAGUUUGUCAUUUUUAGUGCCAUAGUUGUAAGUUUUUUUAUCUACAAAAUAUUACAAUUUUUAAACAGUUGAUUAAAAAAAAGCAUAAAGAUAUAUAAGGUGGUAAAUUAAAAGGUAGAGUCCAUUAAAUAAAUCAUAUACUAAUUAGAAACAAACGUUAUAAAUAGUUUUAUGUGUACUGAAACAUGUAAGCAAAUCAACCAAUUAAGCACCAUAAAUAAAAAAAAAAAUUUAAAAAAACAAAAAAAUAUUUAAAUUUUGUUCAUUCUGCUUUUUACCUUAUAUAUAAUUUUUAAUGACAAAAAAUAGAUACACAAAUUUCGAAUCGCGUAAGACAAAAACAUUGAAUAUUUUAAAUUAUUUUACAUUUAUCUAUAGUUUUAUAUAUUUUUAUAAUAGAUUAUCAAAUUUAUAUAUUAAAAUAAUCAUACUAAAUAUAUAAUUAAAAUUAAAUUUAAUAAAAAAACCCGGGCGUAGCCCGGGCCGACCCUAGUAUAUAUAUAUAUACACACAACUACUUCCUUCAUAACUUAUAUCUUCGACUACUUGGCUGCUGCUCUCUCUCUCUCCUUGAUAAACCCUAGAUCUCCCCGAUAAGCAGCAACAAUGGCAGACGCAGAGACCUUCGCUUUCCAGGCUGAGAUCAACCAGUUGCUCUCGCUCAUCAUCAACACCUUCUACAGCAACAAGGAGAUCUUCCUUCGUGAGCUCAUCAGUAACUCUUCCGAUGUACGUCUCUUUUGCUUUCUCCUGGAUCGAUCUGUCGAUUAGGUUUGAUUAGUGUUGCUGUUGUAUCCGAUUUGAAUAUUGAAGUAGGGAGCUCUAUGAUAUUCAAAUCUGUCUUCCUAGAUUUAGUUUUGCUACCAUGGUUAAGCAUUAGGUGUUAAGCUUCGAUGAAUUUGAUUUUCGUCUUUUA
rnacentral:lncRNA from 1 species